UGGGGAAUAUUGGGCAAUGGGCGAAAGCCUUACCCAGCAACGCCGCGUGAGGGAAGAAGGUUUUCGGAUUGUAAACCUCUGUCCUGGGGGACGAAGGAAGUGACGGUACCCCGGGAGGAAGCCCCGGCUAACUACGUGCCAGCAGCCGCGGUAAUACGUAGGGGGCGAGCGUUGUCCGGAAUUAUUGGGCGUAAAGGGCGCGUAGACGGCCGAGUAAGUUAUAGGUGAAAGCCCAUCUUUCAAGGAUGGAAUUGCCUGUAAUACUGCUUGGCUUGAGUGCAGGAGAGGGAAGCGGAAUUCCUAGUGUAGCGGUGAAAUGCGUAGAUAUUAGGAGCAACACCAGUGGCGAAGGCGGCUUUCUGGACUGUAACUGACGUUGAGGCGCGAAAGCGUGGGGAUCGAACAGGAUUAGAUACC
rnacentral:rRNA from 1 species